AUUGAACGCUGGCGGUAUGCUUAACACAUGCAAGUCGAACGGUAGCAGGCCUUCGGGCGCUGACGAGUGGCGGACGGGUGAGUAACGCGUAGGAAUCUGCCUCAUAGUGGGGGACAACGUGUGGAAACGCACGCUAAUACCGCAUACGCCCUACGGGGGAAAGCGGGGGACCUUUGGGCCUCGCGCUAUGAGAUGAGCCUGCGUUAGAUUAGCUAGUUGGUGGGGUAAAGGCCUACCAAGGCGACGAUCUAUAGCUGGUCUGAGAGGACGAUCAGCGACACUGGGACUGAGACACGGCCCAGACUCCUACGGGAGGCAGCAGUGGGGAAUAUUGGACAAUGGGCGCAAGCCUGAUCCAGCAAUACCGCGUGUGUGAAGAAGGCCCUAGGGUUGUAAAGCACUUUCAAUAGGGAGGAAAACCUGCCGGUCAAUACCCGGUAGCUUGACAUUACCUAUACAAGAAGCACCGGCUAACUCCGUGCCAGCCGCCGCCGUAAUAC
rnacentral:rRNA from 1 species